UACGAAGGGGGCUAGCGUUGUUCGGAUUUACUGGGCGUAAAGCGCACGUAGGCGGGUUGUUAAGUCAGGGGUGAAAUCCUGGAGCUCAACUCCAGAACUGCCUUUGAUACUGGCAACCUAGAGGCUGGAAGAGGUUAGUGGAAUUCCCAGUGUAGAGGUGAAAUUCGUAGAUAUUGGGAAGAACACCAGUGGCGAAGGCGGCUAACUGGUCCAGAUCUGACGCUGAGGUGCGAAGGCGUGGGGAGCAAACAGG
rnacentral:rRNA from 1 species